CACUGCUGGUGCCCUAUUAGCCUGAGUCAGUCCCUUCCAGCCUCUGAAUCUAUGCUUAUUAGAUGUUUUCAGGAGUACUGGGCUGUUUGUUUCUAAGACAAACUGCAGUAAGCCUUUACUUAAGUAUUACAUUGUGCUACAUUAAAAAUUGCAGGCAGCUUGAUGUUUUCUCUUUUUAAAAUUAACUCUCCAAAUUGAUUUCAAUGUCCUUAAAGAAACAAGCAAGUCCUUAAAAACAGUAUCUUAAAAGCUUACCCAUGAUAAUGUCCUCUAAAUAUCCAACCACAGCAUCAAAUUCUGCAUCAGAGGCGGAGGAGCUGAAAAACAUGCCUGGAUUAGGUGCUAUUUCAAAUAAUGCAUUAAAAAAAUGUUUUUAGUAUGGACGUUUUCAAACAUGCACAAGAGAAAAAAGAGUAGCAAAACGAACUUCCCAUCACCCAUCUUCAACGAUUAAGAAUGACUGACUGAUCUAGUAAGUCCAAACAGAAGAAAACACACUCGGCACGUUUGUGACAUGAACGUUCAAUGUCAUGACUCCACUUUAAUAAAAACUUGUUCUCCAGGC
rnacentral:lncRNA from 10 species